GAAAAUGUGGAUAUUGCCAGAUGUUCACUGUUCGAGGAACAGGCCGUAGAAGCCUUAUUGUUGGCAAAAGUGUCCAUAACCAGAGAUUCAGCAGGUGGAGGACCUGCUUUAUUAGGAAGAUAAUCUGGAAACACUGACAAUGGGUCAUUGUUCCUGACAUCCCAUGCCCCCUGUCUACUGAGAAUCUUGCUGUGCUCCAACGUCAAGUGAACCCUACCAACGACUCAUCUUUUGGUCAGGACAUAUACAUGCAUGCUCUUCGAUUAGUAUUGAGUCUCCAACCUUUUCAGGUGCAGUCCUCCCACACUAUAUAGGAUAUUGUUUUAGCCCCAGUGCCACUCUUGAUAAUGGCAAACAUUUGCAUUUUUUGGAGGAGGGUGAAAGGAUAGCAGGCCCAGCUGUCAAAGUGAGAGGAGAGUGAAUUCUGGAAAGAGCGGGUACUUGUGUGUAGUCUAUUUCUUGUGAGCUUUUCUGUCCUCAGAUACAGAGAGCUGUGAAAGCCUGUCUGCAGAUUAAGAGGUCCCAAUGAAGAGCAGGGGUUUUCAGUCCUGGUGCUGGGGACAGUCCUGGUGCUGCCUUGGCACUACACAGCUGAUUCAAAUGAUCAAGUCACCAUCAAGCUUCAAAUGGUAUGUUUUGAUGUGAGAGAGGAAGACCUGAAGAAAUCCCAUCAGCGCCGCCUCACCCGCUCUUAAGAUAAUCUUCGGGCCGACUGGGAGUCCAAGGCUGGUUAGAAGACACCGCGAGAGACACUAUGUAAUUGUGAUGAACAGAGAAUAUUAGGGUGGCACUAAUUCAUUAAUCAUAUGCUGUCUUCCCUGCUCCUCUGUUUUACCUCUCUCCCCACCUCUUUCUUCCUC